rnacentral:lncRNA from 1 species
ACUGACCAAAUCAUUCAAAAUGAUAAUGAAGAUAACUUUAAAAACAUUCCAAGUUGGUAGGAGAUGUAGACUUACAAAUAAGUUGACAGCAAAAGAUUAUGGUUAGCUGCUUUUAUCAGGUAUGUAUAUAAUACUGUAAUGACAGAAAAAAAGGAGUAGUCAGUUAGUGUUCCGUUAGUUUUAGGGCCACAAAACGUUUUACAGAGAACAGGCUUGAAUUGGACCUCCAAAAAUGAGUCAAAGACUCUCAGGGUAACUUCAUUUCAUUCUAUACUAUUAUUAUCUUCCAUAGACAUAUAUACUGGGAGAAGCAAUUUUAAAUGUCUACUCACAAGUUUUAAGUUCCAGAGCCACAUUUCUGACUCUUGCUAGACAUCUCCACUUUUGAUGAUCCUAAGCACCCGGAACUUACUCUGUUCAAAAUGAAACUAAUUACCUUCUUCUAGUUUCCUUUCAUUAUCUCACAAUCUAUUAAUGAUAUCUAACUUCUAUACUAGAAAUCUUUAUUUGUUUAUAUCACUUUUAUUUCCCUUUUAUUCUCCAAACAGUUGACCCUCAAAUUAUAUUGAUUUACCCUCAAAAAUUAUCUUUGUUCCAUCCUAACUUCUUUGAUUUCAACAUUUGCUAUACCAUAUUCAGGCCUUUGAUAUCUCUUUCUGAGGCUAUUGCUACAGUGUCCUAAAUGAUUUUUCUUCCUCUAAUACUUCUAGUACAUUCUCUCCCUUUACUGUAUUAAAAAAUGGUUCUCAAACUUAUUGGACUUAGGAAUUUUAACACAAAUUACUGAACAUCUUAAGUAGCUUGUACUUUUUAAAUUGUAUUCAUCAUUAUUGUCAGACUAGAAAUUAAGCAUAAAUUUCAAAAAUUUUUAAUUUUAAAAAGUGACAAUAAAGCCAUUACAUAUUUCUAUAGACUGCAUUGUGUUCCCAAAAUUCAUAUGUUGAAACUCCAACUUCCAAUGUAAUAGUAUUUGGAGAUAGGACUUCUAGGAAUUAAUUAAGAUUAAAUAAGGUCAUAGGGGUGGGUUCUUAAUCUGAUAAGAUUGUCAGCCUUACAAGAUAGGAUGGUGUCCACCACACAAGAGCAGAGCAAGAAUGCUACUGUCUGCAAGCUAGGAAGAGAAUCAUCACCAGAAUCCAACCAUACUAGCACCUUGGUCUUGGACUUCCAUCUCCAGAUUAUGAGAAAAUCAAUUUCUGUUGUUUAAGCUACCUAGUAUAUGAUAUUUUGUUAUGGCAUCCUGAAUUGAAUUGAUAUUUUGAUACUAAGAAGUAUGGUACCACUGUAACAAAUUCCUCAAUAUGUAUAAGUGACUUUGGAACUGGGUAAUGGGCAGAGGCUAGAAGGGUUUUUAGGUGAAAGCCCAGAAAUAUGGACAUUCAAGGCAAUUCUGGUGAUAUCUUAGAAGAAAUUGAGGAACAUGUUAUUGGAAACCAGAAGAAAAGUGAUUCUUGUUAAAGAGAAGAAAAGAAUUUGACUGAACUGUGUUUAGCAUUUUAUGAAAGGUAAAAUUUGACACUGUGAAAUUGGAUAUUUAGCUGAGAAUAUUUCUAAACAAGGUAUUGAUGAAGUAGCUCAUUUCCUCCUGCUUUAUAGUGAAACGUAAAAGAGGAGAGAUGAAUUCAAGAAGGAAUUCCUAAGCAAAAACUGAAGCAGAACCAGAAUUUGAAGAUUUGGAAAAUUCUCAGCCAAUCUGUAUUGUCAAAAAUGAGAAACCUUAUUCUGAAAAGAACUCCAAGGACUGAACAGCAUUUUGAGAUAAUAUGUCCAACUCAUGGACUUGACUUGAUCAACUAUCAGCAGAAUUCAUGAAUAGAAGUGGAUUUAUUCCACAAAGGCAUUGCCAGUUUGUACUAAUGGAGACAAAAUCAAACCAAAUGAAGGAUGAUGUUAGACUGCUUGGAUUCUGCAGGACUGUACCAUAAAACUACAUAGCUGCAAGAUACUGCCUUCAAAAAAGACCAACCCCUCAAGGGGGUUUAUUUUCAUAUGUUUCUGCACUGUCUGUUGUGAUGUUUUAAUUAAAGCAUAUGAGGAAAAUCUAGGCUUGCACAGGUAUGGAGUUGGAAAGGGGGAGAGUAUUUUAAUACAUGUUUCAGAAAAUUGUGGAUAUUAUUUUUUUGGGGGUACUACAUUAAAACUCACUGAAGGGUGCUUUCUGAAAUUGUAGUUUAAUAUGGAAUUUGAACAUUGUAUU